CGUUGCUUGCCGUUAGGGCUGUCCCCGUUGAGUGGGCAGCAUCGCAGCGCCUACAUGAGCCAGGGGCAUCAUGGCGUUAAUUGUCGUGGUGGGUUCAUGGACGUGAUCCACUCAGGAAGAAGGAAGGGAACCAUGUCCAGAAAAGGUGGAAAGACUAUCUUCCAGUGGACUGGUGAUGCGUGGGACUCAUUUUGCUGCUUUCAAAGUUCCUUUGUGAAAGGUGACAAGGCUGAGAAAACCCAUUUCUACCACCCACCGCAUCCUAGAUACAUGGUCAUUAUGGAUUUCUAGGAAGAACAGAGUUGUGUCCUGUUUAUGUGGAAGGAAUCCUCUACGUGUGCGGAACAAUAUUUCCUAAAGCCAAGAGGUGUUAGUUUAAAAAGUCCAGUUAUAAAAUGAGAACAUGAGAAAAUGCUGAGUCAUUGGUUUCCUCUCCACGAGGACCUCUUUCCUGAUGGCACCACGAAGGGGGCAUAAAGUCUUCUCUAACCUCUGCCACAGGUGACUGGAUGUUGAGGCCAUGGAACUUAGUGUCCACCUUACUGAAGCAUUAUUUCUGGAUGUGACCAUGAGGGAUUUCUAAGGACUGGUAUGUAUGUGGGUGCCUGAGCUCUGUGGGCAAGGUCCACUCUCAACACAGGUGGACAACAUGCAGCCAGGCAGGAGCUACAUGGGACCAACAAGCAGAGCAAAAGAAAUUUUCCUCUGUAUCUCUCCUGGGACAGAUAUGCUCUUCCUCUGUCCUUAGACAUUAUAACUCUGAGUCAGCUGGACUCUGGACUCUGGGUUGUGGACUUGUGCUGGGUCCUCAGAUCUCUGGCCUCAGACUGAGGCUCGCACAGGUGGCUUCCCUGGUCUCUGCUUUCAGACAUAGACUGAGCCCAGCUACCAGUAAUGCAAAGCUUCCACCUUGCACAAAGCCUGUCGUGGGAAUACUCAGCCACAUUGGCCUCUUCCCCUAAGAGCUGUUGGCCCAGAGGAACUUCACUUAGAUUUCAAAGACUGCUAGGGCCAGCCUCAGUGCCAAGACAAAAACUGUCUCAAGAGAAGCUUCCCACAGUAAGUCUCCUCUAUGGCAAAGAGUGGGAGUAUAGUGUCCCACGCUACCGUCUCGCCAGCAAGAACGACGCGGCACACUUAGGAUCCUUCUGCAGAACAGCUUUAAUGUGUCUUGAG